CCCCUUCCAAAAACAAGUUGCAGCGGUAGUCUAAAAUGGCCACCAUGAAGAUGAAGAGCAGUCCAGGAAACUAAGAUUGUACUGGAGUGGAGAAGCAGCAAGCAGAGUGUGAACCAGACAACAUUCAAGGACUUUAAGGUACCCCGGUAUUAAGAAUAAAAGGACUAUUUGGAGGAAAAUGUGCAGAAGCGGCGACCAGAGAGAGUGAGAAGGAAAUUUGAACUUAUAAAAUUGGCUUGAGCUAUUGGAAUGAAUUAACUUGGAGGAGAAAACUCAGAAGGAAAUAUUUGACCACAAAACGCUUGGAAAUUAAAUUGGAUAAUUAUUGGACUUUUGGCACUAAAUAGGCAUAAAUAAAUGCUGGAAUUGAAUGUGUUGAAAAUAAAUAAUAGCUAAUAAUUGAAAUUAGCAAAUUUAAUAAACGUUUUAUAAUUUAAAAAAAGAAAGUAAAGUAAAAGAAAGAGUGGAUUGUGGAAAAAGACU